rnacentral:rRNA from 1 species
UACGUAGGGUGCAAGCGUUGUCCGGAAUUACUGGGCGUAAAGCGUGCGCAGGCGGUUAUGCAAGACAGAUGUGAAAUCCCCGGGCUCAACCUGGGAACUGCAUUUGUGACUGCAUGGCUAGAGUACGGUAGAGGGGGAUGGAAUUCCGCGUGUAGCAGUGAAAUGCGUAGAUAUGCGGAGGAACACCGAUGGCGAAGGCAAUCCCCUGGACCUGUACUGACGCUCAUGCACGAAAGCGUGGGGAGCAAACAGG